GAGAAAUAAGCAUGGCGUGCAGUGCUUCAGCUUGCCAGUCAAAUUGCUACAAAACCCAGCAGGAAGAAGAAGAAGCUGUUAAAGACAACAGCAAUACCAAUUCAUUUGCUGCUAAUAAUAGCAGCAGCAACAACAACAGCAACAGUGGUUUGUGUCUGAAGUGCAAGGCCAACCAACCUAUCUCUUCCAGUAGCGACGGUGGUGACGAUGCACGAUUUUGCAUCGAUUGCUUCCGCGGCAAUCUCUUCGGGAAGUUCAGGUUAGCUGUGACCUCCAACGCCAUGAUUGCUCCUACUGAUAAUGUCCUCGUUGCCUUCUCUGGUGGCCCUUCUUCCAGGGUUGCCUUGCAGUUUGUACAUGAGAUGCAUAGUAAAGCGCAGAAGAAUUUCGAUGCAUGUAGGGAUAGAUCGUUGCCAGUUUUCGGUGUUGGAGUUGCAUUUGUUGAUGAAAGUUCUGUUUACUCUGUCCCCUAUAAUGAAACCGACAAAGUAAUUGGAGACGUUAGAUUGAUAGUGGAAAAUCUAGCCCCGCCAUCAAAGGAGUUGUAUAUUGUACCUAUUGAAAGUGUCUACUCUUCAGAUUCUGGUGAUGGAAGGGAGAGAUUAAAGAAGUUACUGGAUGCUGUUGGUGAUGCAACUGGGAGAGAAGAUCUUUUAUUACAUCUCCGCAUGUUGGCCUUGCAAUAGGUUGCCUCUCAAAAUGGAUACAACAGACUUCUACUGGGGUCAUGCGUAUCGAGGAUUGCCUGCCAUGUUAUUUCAGCCACUGUCAAGGGCCAAGGAUAUUCUUUACCAGCCGAUGUACAGUAUGUUGAUGCAAGGUGGGAGAUCCCAGUUGUGCUUCCCCUUCGUGAUUGUCUUGCCAAAGAGCUGACCAUGCUUUGCCGCCUUGAUGGGGCAGUCUAAAAACUGUGGAGUUGAUAAGAAGUCCUUGCACUGGCAUAAAUGGCUUGGUCUCAUCAUUCGUGACACUUUUGCAGGAAGAAAAUCCUUCUCGAGAGUGCACAAUUAUGAGAACAGCUGGAAAGCUUAUCCCAUUUCAUUUCAACAAAAUUGAAGAGAUUGAUGACUCUAAUGUUCUUUUGGCAACUCGAAGGCGUCAGAAGAGAUAUAACCUUAAACCUAAUGAAUCUUUUUCCUCCGAGUCGUUCUGCUUUAUUUGCAAUAGCCCACUCAGCAGAUCUGACUUGCUAAGUUUGAAGAACCUGGAGAGUCACAAAACAAGUUCUGUUUGCUGUUCAAGCUGCCAGUUCCAAAUACUUCCCCAAGACCCCUCAUCAGUAAAUGAGUUGUAUACUCUUUUACCUGAGCAACUGUUUGCCCGAGCAAAGCAUGAAAACCUUGACCAUUACAGUGCCCUCAGGGAACAAAUACAAGAUUGCUUGCUUUCAGAAGGUGAAGAUGAAACUUGAGUCGGCUCACCCAUGCUUGGGAUCUCAAUUAUUGAAGCUAGUAAUAGGCACUAUUUCAAUUUAGUCCUUCAGAUUCUUUCUAAAGGAUGGUGUUAGGAUUAUGGGCCGGUAGUGGACUUGCGAUGCCAACAGCUAAUCACUAAAACAGCAUGCAAUCAACUUCUGGUCUUUGGACGACUUCCUGCUGUCCUAAUUGUCUAACAUGGUUUCGAAAUAGCGAUCAUUGAUUCUGUCUUGAUGGUGGUAUUUAUGUUGUGUAUCAGAAGUUGCAAAGUUGAACUUGGUUCAGUGAAAUUCAACCUGGCUUGAAAAUUAUUAGAUUGUUUCUGCUUGAUGUGCAGAAAAUUCAAUACUCUGUUUUAUUCUGGCAUGAUAUGCAUGAGAAGAAAUUGUGAGUAAAUUGUGUUG